UACCUGGAAAGAUACAAGGGAAAUAUUAAUAAUUUCCUGUAAAUUUUCGUAUUCGCAUACUUGCGUUAUACUUAUAAUAUUCCAUUCAAAACAAUAGUCGAAUAUCGUUGAUGUCUGGGCAUAAAUAAAACUAAAAAUAAUUAUUGAAGUGUGCAUUAAACAAUAUGGAAAAACGUAUUUCAGCAGUGGCGGAAGAACGAACAAGGACAGGCAAAGUGAACUUUUAAACAGAAAUAUAUAAUUUAGAAACAACAGUUAAGUCCUCUUAUUAUUCAUCUGUUCUGUUUCAUCUGGUAGUAGUUUUAAGGAAUAUUGUCAAUGUGUUACUAAUUACCCAGAACAGAUGCGUUUUUGAAAUAUUAUAAUAAUUACUAGGCAUCAUAAUAACACUCUAGUUUA